rnacentral:tRNA from 1 species
GCCGAGGUAGCUCAGCCUGGGAGAGCACCCCGCUGAAGCCGGGGCUGUCGCAGGUUCAAGUCCUGCCCUCGGCA